AUUGAACGCUGGCGGCAGGCCUAACACAUGCAAGUCGAACGAGUGGCGGAAGGGUGAGUAAUGUCUGGGAAACUGCCUGAUGGAGGGGGAUCACUACUGGAAACGAUAGCUACUACCGCAUACCAUCAGAUGUGUCCAGAUGGGAUUAGAUUGUGGGUGGGGUAAAGGCUCACCAAGGUGACGAUCCCUAGCUGGUCUGAGAGGAUGACCAGCCACACUGGAACUGAGACACGGUCCAGACUCCUACGGGAGGCAGCAGUGGGGAAUAUUGGACAAUGGGCGCAAGCCUGAUGCAGCCAUGCCGCGUGUAUGAAGAAGGCCUUCGGGUUGUAAAGUACUUUCAGCGGGGAGGCGUUACCCGCAGAAGAAGCACCGGCUAACUCCGUGCCAGCAGCCGCGGUAAUAC
rnacentral:rRNA from 1 species